rnacentral:snRNA from 1 species
GGACGUGUGAGCGAUUUGGCUGAUCUGGCUGACUGGGCAGGUGUUCCCUUCCUCCCUGACAGCUCCAUGUGCAUCCUUCGCAAAGCUCCUGGCUAGAGCAGGACCACUCUUAGGUCAAAGGUAGCUGCGCUUCCCUGCUAGAACCUCCAAGCAACCUCCAAACAAUCUCAUUUAACACUUAACAUAUCCUGAUUUGUAUAUCUAACUUUCUGUGUGUGUGUGUGCUCUGUGCUCAUAAUGAUAUAGACUCCUUUACGUUAAAGUCUAGUUUUAUAU